rnacentral:lncRNA from 1 species
GUGUGGUCUUAUUUUUUAGUGUCUUUUUGUUUAAAAAUGUUAUUUUGUCAUGUAAUAAAAUACCUCACUUUGUGCAAAAACGUACUAUGGUCAUGAUGGUGGUGUGUUUUUGUUGUUAUUUUUAAAGCUAUGCAUUAAUGGCAUGAAAUUUAUGUACUUAUCGCCCCAUGUGUGUUAUAUGGUUGAGGACCUAAAAUCUGUUUAUAUUGUUCAGUCUUUAGUGUAUUUUAUAUGAGCUGUUUUCCUCAAAGAUUCGAAUAAACAUUCAACUCAUUCUUAAAAGUU